rnacentral:rRNA from 1 species
UACGGGGGGGGCAAGCGUUGUUCGGAAUUACUGGGCGUAAAGGGCUCGUAGGCGGCCAACUAAGUCAGACGUGAAAUCCCCAGGCUCAACCUGGGAACUGCGUCUGAUACUGGAUGGCUUGAAUCCGGGAGAGGGAUGCAGAAUUCCAGGUGUAGCGGUGAAAUGCGUAGAUAUCUGGAGGAAUACCGGUGGCGAAGGCGGCAUCCUGGACCGGCAUUGACGCUGAGGCGCGAAAGCUAGGGGAGCGAACGGG